rnacentral:rRNA from 1 species
UGGGGAAUUUUGGACAAUGGGCGAAAGCCUGAUCCAGCAAUGCCGCGUGUGUGAAGAAGGCCUUCGGGUUGUAAAGCACUUUUGUCCGGAAAGAAAUCCUUGGCUCUAAUACAGUCGGGGGAUGACGGUACCGGAAGAAUAAGCACCGGCUAACUACGUGCCAGCAGCCGCGGUAAUACGUAGGGUGCAAGCGUUAAUCGGAAUUACUGGGCGUAAAGCGUGCGCAGGCGGUUUGCUAAGACCGAUGUGAAAUCCCCGGGCUCAACCUGGGAACUGCAUUGGUGACUGGCAGGCUAGAGUAUGGCAGAGGGGGGUAGAAUUCCACGUNUAGCAGUGAAAUGCGUAGAGAUGUGGAGGAAUACCGAUGGCGAAGGCAGCCCCCUGGGCAAUACUGACGCUCAUGCACGAAAGCGUGGGGAGCAAACAGGAUUAGAUACCCUGGUAGUCCACGCCCUAAACGAUGUCAACUAGUUGUUGGGGAUCAUUCCUUAGUAACGUAGCUAACGCGUGAAGUUGACCGCCUGGGGAGUACGUCGCAAGAUU